GACGAACGCUGGCGGCGUGCUUAAUACAUGCAAGUCGAGCGAGAAAGCUCCUUUCGGGGAGUGAGUAAAGCGGCGCACGGGUGAGUAAUACGUAGAUAAUCUACCUUAAGGUGGGGAAUAACACUGGGAAACUAGUGCUAAUACCGCAUAAUCUCGAGAUAACCUCGGUUGUUUCAAGUAAAUACGGCCUAUGCUUGCAUGCUCUCGCCAUAAGAUGAGACUUCGUCCCAUUAGGUAGUUGGUAGGGUAACGGCCUACCAAGCCAAUGAUGGGUAGCUGGUCUUAGAGGAUGAUCAGCCACACUGGAACUGAAACACGGUCCAGACUCCUACGGGAGGCAGCAGUAGGGAAUUUUGCGCAAUGGGCGAAAUGCCUGACGCAGCGACGUCGCGUGUGGGAUGAAGGGUUUCGGCUCGUAAACCACUGUCAGAUGAGAAGAUGGGAUCAGUGCCUAAUAUUCACUGGUCUUGACUGUACCAUCAGAGGAAGCACCGGCUAACUACGUGCCAGCCGCCGCGGUAA
rnacentral:rRNA from 1 species